rnacentral:pre_miRNA from 1 species
GUAGUAUUCCCUCCAUCCCAAAAUUCUUAUCUUACAUUUGUUUAGAUACGGAUGUAUCUAACACUAAAAUGUAACUAGAUACAUCCAUAUUUAGACAAAUUUAAGACAAGAAUUUUGGGACGGAGGGAGUACAAA